rnacentral:rRNA from 1 species
AGAAUCAACGCUGGCGGCGUGCCUAACACAUGCAAGUCGAACGAGAAAGUGGAGCAAUCCAUGAGUAAAGUGGCGCACGGGUGAGUAACACGUGACUAACCUACCCUUGAGUGGGGAAUAACUUCGGGAAACCGAGGCUAAUACCGCAUAACACCUACGGGUCAAAGGAGCAAUUCGCUUAAGGAGGGGUCGCGGCAGAUUAGUUAGUUGGCGGGGUAAUGGCCCACCAAGGCAGUGAUCUGUA